GACGAACGCUGGCGGCGUGCUUAACACAUGCAAGUCGAACGGUCAAGCGCCUUCCUUUUUGGUGGCUGUGGAUGAGUGGCGAACGGGUGAGUAACACGUGAGUAACCUGCCCUCUCCUUCUGGAUAACCGAAUGAAAGUGUGGCUAAUACAGGAUAUCCUGGGUCUGUUGCCUGAUGGGUAUGUGAAAGAUAUUGUUUCGGUGGGGGAUGGGCUCGCGGCCUAUCAGCUGGUUGGUGGGAUGAUGGCCUACCAAAGCGGUGGUGGGUAGCCGGCCUGGGGGGGGGGACGGUCACGCUGGGGCUGAGACCCGGCCCAGACUCCGACGGGAGGCAGCAGUGGGGAAUAGUGCACAAUGGGCGCAAGCCUGAUGCAGCGACGCCGCGUGAGGGAUGGAGUCCUGCGGGUUGUGAACCUCUUUCGCCAGUGAAGCAGGCCUGCCUGGCUUGUGGGUGGGUUGACGGUAGCUGGAUAAGAAGCGCCGGCUAACUACGUG
rnacentral:rRNA from 1 species